UACGGGAGGCAGCAGUGGGGAAUAUUGCACAAUGGGCGAAAGCCUGAUGCAGCUAUGCCGCGUGUAUGAAGAAGGCCUUAGGGUUGUAAAGUACUUUCAUCGGGGAGGAAAAACAAAACUAAUAAUUUUAUUUCUUGACGUUACCCGAAAAAGAAGCACCGGCUAACUCCGUGCCAGCAGCCGCGGUAAUACGGAGGGUGCUAGCGUUAAUCAGAAUUACUGGGCGUAAAGAGCACGUAGGUGGUUUUUUAAGUCAGAUGUGAAAUCCCUGGGCUUAACCUAGGAACUGCAUUUUGAAACUGAAAUACUAGAGUAUCGUAGAGGGAGGUAGAAUUCUAGGUGUAGCGGUGAAAUGCGUAGAUAUCUGGAGGAAUACCUGUGGCGAAAGCGGCCUCCUAAACGAAUACUGACACUGAGGUGCGAAAGCGUGGGGAGCAAACAGGGAUUAGAUA
rnacentral:rRNA from 1 species